CCACACCGACAACACACUGUCCCACCGACAACACACUGUCCCACCAACAACACACUGUUCCACCAACAACACACUGUUCCACCAACACACUGUUCCACCGACAACACACUGUUCCACCGACAACACACUGUCCCACCGACAACACACUGUCCCACCGACAACACACUGUUCCACCGACAACACACUGUCCCACCGACAACACACUGUUCCACCGACAACACACUGUACCACCGACAACACACUGUCCCACCGACAACACACUGUUCCACCGACAACACACUGUUCCACCGACAACACACUGUCCCACCGACAACACACUGUUCCACCGACAACACACUGUCCCACCGACAACACACUGUUCCACCGACAACACACUGUUCCACCGACAACACACUGUUCCACCACCAACACACUGUCCCACCGACAACACACUGUUCCACCGACAACACACUGUCCCACCGACAACACACUGUCCCACCGACAACACACUGUUCCACCGACAACACACUGUUCCACCGACAACACACUGUUCCACCGACAACACACUGUCCCACCGACAACACACUGUUCCACCGACAACACACUGUUCCACCGACAACACACUGUACAACACACUGUCCCACCGACAACACACUGUUCCACCGACAACACACUGUUCCACCAACAACACACUGUCCCACCGACAACACACUGUUCCACCAACAACACACUGUUCCACCAACACACUGUUCCACCAACAACACACUGUCCCACCGACAACACACUGUUCCACCAACAACACACUGUUCCACCAACACACUGUUCCACCAACAACACACUGUUCCACCAACAACACACUGUUCCACCAACACACUGUUCCACCAACAACACACUGUUCCACCAAUAUACUGUUCCACCGACAACACACUGUUCCACCAACACACUGUUCCACCGACAACACACUGUUCCACCAACACACUGUUCCACCAACAACACACUGUUCCACCAACACACUGUUCCACCAACAACACACUGUCCCACCGACAACACACUGUUCCACCAACAACACACUGUUCCACCAACACACUGUUCCACCGACAACACACUGUCCCACCGACAACACACUGUUCCACCGACAACACACUGUUCCACCGACAACACACUGUCCCACCGACAACACACUGUUCCACCGACAACACACUGUACCACCGACAACACACUGUCCCACCGACAACACACUGUCCCACCGACAACACACUGUUCCACCGACAACACACUGUUCCACCGACAACACACUGUCCCACCGACAACACACUGUUCCAUGUUCCACCGACAACACACUGUCCCACCGACAACACACUGUUCCACCGACAACACACUGUUCCACCGACAACACACUGUUCCACCGACAACACACUGUACAACACACUGUCCCACCGACAACACACUGUUCCACCGACAACACACUGUUCCACCAACAACACACUGUUCCACCAACAACACACUGUCCCACCGACAACACACUGUUCCACCGACAACACACUGUUCCACCAACAACACACUGUCCCACCGACAACACACUGUUCCACCAACAACACACUGUUCCACCAACACACUGUUCCACCAACAACACACUGUUCCACCAACAACACACUGUUCCACCAACACACUGUUCCACCAACAACACACUGUUCCACCAAUAUACUGUUCCACCGACAACACACUGUUCCACCAACACACUGUUCCACCGACAACACACUGUUCCACCAACAACACACUGUUCCACCGACAACACACUGUUCCACCAACACACUGUUCCACCAACACACUGUUCCACCAACAACACACUGUUCCACCAACACACUGUUCCACCAACAACACACUGUUCCACCAACAACACACUGUUCCACCACCAACACACUGUUCACCAACACACUGUUCCACCAACAACACACUGUUCCACCAACAACACACUGUUCCACCAACAACACACUGUUCCACCAACAACACACUGUUCCACCAACACACUGUUCCACCAACAACACACUGUUCCACCAACAACACACUGUUCCACUAACAACACACUGUUCCACCAACAACACACUGUUCCACCAACACACUGUUCCACCAACAUACUGUUCCACCAACAACACACUGUUCCACCAACACACUGUUCCACCACCACACUGUUCCACUAACAACACACUGUUCCACCAACAACACACUGUUCCACCAACACACUGUUCCACCAACACACUGUUCCACCAACAACACACUGUUCCACCAACACACUGUUCCACCAACAACAUACUGUUCCACCAACAACACACUGUUCCACUAACAACACACUGUUCCACCAACACACUGUUCCACCAACAUACUGUUCCACCAACAACACACUGUUCCACCAACACACUGUUCCACCACCACACUGUUCCACUAACAACACACUGUUCCACCAACAACACACUGUUCCACCAACACACUGUUCCACCAACACACUGUUCCACCAACAACACACUGUUCCACCAACACACUGUUCCACCAACAACAUACUGUUCCACCAACAACACACUGUUCCACUAACAACACACUGUUCCACCAACACACUGUUCCACCAACACACUGUUCCACCAACAACACACUGUUCCACCAACACACUGUUCCACCAACAUACUGUUCCACCAACAACACACUGUUCCACCAACACACUGUUCCACCAACAACACACUGUUCCACCAACACACUGUUCCACCAACAUACUGUUCCACCAACAACACACUGUUCCACCAACACACUGUUCCACCAACACACUGUUCCACCAACAACACACUGUUCCACCAACACACUGUUCCACCAACACACUGUUCCACCAACAACACACUGUUCCACCACUGUGUGCAGUUAUCACUU
rnacentral:lncRNA from 1 species